GACGAACCGUACGAACGUUAUUCGGAAUCACUGGGCGUAAAGGGCGCGUAGGCGGCCUGGUAAGUAGGGGGUGAAAUCCUGCGGCUUAACCGCAGGGCUGCCUUCUAAACUGUCAGGCUUGAGCACGGUAGAGGCAGAUGGAAUUCCCGGUGUAGCGGUGGAAUGCGUAGAGAUCGGGAAGAACAUCAGUGGCGAAGGCGGUCUGCUGGGCCGUUGCUGACGCUGAGGCGCGACAGCGUGGGGAGCAAACAGG
rnacentral:rRNA from 1 species